rnacentral:rRNA from 1 species
AUUGAACGCUGGCGGCAGGCCUAACACAUGCAAGUCGAGCGGAUGAAGGGAGCUUGCUCCUGGAUUCAGCGGCGGACGGGUGAGUAAUGCCUAGGAAUCUGCCUGGUAGUGGGGGAUAACGUCCGGAAACGGGCGCUAAUACCGCAUACGUCCUGAGGGAGAAAGUGGGGGAUCUUCGGACCUCACGCUAUCAGAUGAGCCUAGGUCGGAUUAGCUAGUUGGUGGGGUAAAGGCCUACCAAGGCGACGAUCCGUAACUGGUCUGAGAGGAUGAUCAGUCAAACUGGAACUGAGACACGGUCCAGACUCCUACGGGAGGCAGCAGGGGGGAAUAUUGGAAAGUGGGCGAAAGCCUUAUCCAGCCAUGCCGGGGGUGUGAAGAAGGUCUUCGGAUUGUAAAGCAUUUUAAGUUGGGAGGAAGGGAAGUAAGUUAAAACCUGGCUGUUUGGACGUUACCAAAAGAAUAAGCACCGGCUAACUUCGU